GCUGUGCAAACGUAACGCAGGCGGGAGAGUUCAGCGAGAGCUAAAAUUGGCUGGGCGGGAGUUUUCUGUUCCGGGUUUUGCAAGUUUCGAAGGAACAGCGGUUUGCAAUCAGGUUUCCGUCCUGGAGUAAUAUCUAAGGAGCGACUGCUGUUCUCUACACGAGAACCUAGUGGAUUCUCUUUCCCCACCUUCCACGUCCUAAGCCCCAGACUCUAGCACCUGCUUCUCCUGGUCGAAAAAAAAAACAGGCAAAGGCGAAGGUCCAGUCCUGUGUGCUAAAAGCCCCGGCCAGCUGUUCCGAGGACUCCAGAAAAGCGUAUUGGGUUUAGAAGCGCUGUAGCCUGUCUCCAAGAAGGUGUGAUACAAUUCAGAAAAUAAUUUGUAAUUAAGAAAAAUCAGACAAGAUGGAGAACAAGAACAAAUGUGGAGAUGACUUCCAGAGGCAAGAAAAAACCCUUCACAGAAGAAUGACAGGAUCUCUCUGUCACCCAGGCUGGAGUGCAGUGGCACAAUCUCGGCCCACUGCAACCUCUGCCUCCUGUGUUCAAGCAAUCCUCCUGCCUCAGCCCUGCAAGUAACUGGGACCACAGUUUUCCUUCAGGUGAGAGUUCAUGCUUGUGGGUUUGACUCAAAGACAUCUUC